UCUUGGUGGGAAGUCUUCUCCCUGAGGCUGAAAGCACGACCCUCAGCAAUAAGAGACAGACUCCUCUGGUGGAAGCUGCCUUCUCCUCUAUGAAACUUUUGCUGGUUGGCUCUACAGCUUGAGAGACAGAGACUAUCGCCAGCAAUUUUCACCCACCUACUACAAACUAAAAGGUCCAGGCAGCUACAGCAACAGCAGUGGUCUCUAUUUUCCUGCAACGCUUCCAGAAUGCCUGGGAGUCUCCUGCUGAUAACAAUAUGGAAUGCCUGGAACUAGUCAAAGAGGCAGAAGUGAUCACAGGACCCUAACCUACCUGAAGUGAGCUGAGAAAAGCAGAGCAGCAAUGGAAUGUGUGGCGAUUACUGUCUCUACCACAGAAGUCCUAUUUCUUGAGGGCAGGAACCUUUUAUUUACUGAUGUUCCCAAAUAUCUAGAAUUGUGUCUGGCUUACAUUGUUCACUCAUUUUAACUACAACUACAACUCAUUUUAACUACUUCCAGGUAGAAUUAGAUAUUCAAGUGCAGGUUAAUAUUUCAGAAACACCUAGUAUUAACAAGAAGGCAGCAGUUAAAUAAGAAGUUAUUUGAAGUUGGCAAACUCAUUCUCAAAUGUAAUUAUAAAUUACAUGAAAUCUUUUCUACAGGAGCUUAAUGAUUCUUUAACUUGACUGAAA